rnacentral:rRNA from 1 species
ACACUGACGUCGCGACGCAUAUCAAUAAGCGGAGGAAAAGAAACUAACAAGGAUUCCACUAGUAACGGCGAGUGAAGCGGGAAGAGCUCAAAUUUGAAAUCUUCAAGGGUUUCCCUUGACGAAUUGUAGUUUAAAGAAGUGUUUUCUGUUAGAGAGGUGGUAAAAGUUCUUUGGAAUAGGACAUCAUAGAGGGUGAGAAUCCCGUAUUUGAUCACUUUCUACUAACGUUGUGAUACACUUUCAAAGAGUCGGAUUGUUUGGGAAUGCAGUCCAAAAUGGGUGGUAAAUUUCAUCUAAAGCUAAAUAUUGGCGAGAGACCGAUAGCGAACAAGUACCGUGAGGGAAAGAUGAAAAGAACUUUGAAAAGAGAGUUAAACAGUACGUGAAAUUGUCAAAAGGGAAGCGUUUGACACCAGUGUUGUUUUUCCGAAAAUCAAUUAUGAAUGGCUUGAUUUUAAGUUUCAUGACCUUAAAAGCUUGUUUCUUAUUUUUCAUGUCUUUCGUAAUGCACUUUUCGGUUAACAAGUCAACAUCAAUUUCUUUUGUUGUAAAAGGUUAAGAGGAAGGUGGCUUUACUUUCGGGCAAAGUGUUUAUAGCCUUUUAACUCUGCAAUCGGAGAGAUUGAGGUCUGCAGCGUAGAUCCUUCGGGGUUAGAUACAUUUGUGCUAAGUUAUAGCUUUUCAUAGACAACUUGUUGACUAUGUUAAGUCUUGUAAUUUACUCGCAGAUGCUAUUUUACCUACGCUUAGGAUGUUGAGUAGCGACAUACGCAC